AGGAGAUGGGAGGAGACAAAGGAGGACAGUAAGCUGGAGCUAGGUCAUGAAAGGCCUUGAUUUCCAAACAAGGAGGGCAUGUCUUAGAGGAAAUGGAGCACCUAUGAAGUCUGCUAGGCUGCGGAGGGUCUGGAGCUAAUAGAUUAGCCUUUUUAGAAGCUUACUGGUAGCAGCAUGGAGGGUUGAUUGCAGGAGUAGGGAUGUAAGACCAAAGCAAGGAGAGCCACAGAGAUGUCACUAUGAGUCUAGGAACAGGCUGGCAUGGGCCUGCUGUGGCUGUGAAUAACAGUAGGUAUGAGGUAUAGAUGAUGGAGUGCAGACAAGUUCAGGAGGUCGAGCUGGAUCUGAAACAAAACAAUAACUCCCAGGCUUAAGAGUAAGUAGACUGUGCUCCUAGGAUUCAUGUGCUGUGGAGUAGCAGCACUGCUUCAGCCAUGACUCCACUGUGUGCAGAGGUCUCUGAAGUCCUAGAGUCCGGGGCCAGCGGACUUCUCCUAACCUUCAUCUCCUCACCCAGGGAGAAGAUGCCUCCUGAGAAAUAAACCUGUCUUCCUUCAGCACACGUUACCCCAUUGACCAGCCAUGGUUGUUUCCCAUCUUCACUAAAGUUGUUCUGAAUGUGGUAAUGUGAUUUCCUAAGCAAAGUAUACGUUCUUCCGUGCAUUAAAG
rnacentral:lncRNA from 1 species